GGGAGGUAGUGACAAGAAAUAACAAUACGGGGCUUGAAGUCUUGUAAUUGGAAUGAUGGGAAUUUAAACCCCUUCCAGAGUAUCAAUUGGAGGGCAAGUCUGGUGCCAGCAGCCGCGGUAAUUCCAGCUCCAAUAGCGUAUAUUAAACUUGUUGCAGUUAAAAAGCUCGUAGUUGAAUUUCUGCUGCAUCGUGGUUCUUCGCUAUGUCGAGUGAUCUUCGUUGUGGCUUAGUUGGGGCAUGUUUUCAUGACUCGACGUUUACUUUGAGAAAAUUAGAGUGCUUCAAGCAGGCUUUUGCCUUGAAUACUUUAGCAUGGAAUAAUGGAGUAGGACUUUGGUUCUAUUUUGUUGGUUUUAGGAGCCGGAGUAAUGGUUAAUAGGAACAGUUGG
rnacentral:rRNA from 1 species